GGUGUACCUUAAUUAAGUUGUUCUGGAUCUCGUCUACCAGGAUAAAGGCAUCUAGGGGGUGACUCUCCAAAAUUGGAUCCAGGGUUCCCAUAUAUUUAAAUAUUUUUCCCCAAGACUGACCAGUGGGUCUCUUCCAGCUCCCUCGUUCUCUCAUUGUUCUCUGGUUGGUGUGCUUGUCUGUCGCUAGUACAUUGGAAUGAGAGCAUUAGCUUCUC